CCAUCCACUCCCAGCGGAUUCCCCGACUCCGAGACCGCAGUCUACCCGCGAGUCCCCACAAUGCAGAGCAGAGCAGCUGGGCUGAAUAAAACAGAGCCGGCGCUCUCCCUUCCUAAAGGCCUACGCUGCCCACCGGUCCGGGCUCGGAGCUCAGCAGAAACAGAUAAAGAGCGGCUAUUGCCGGCACCAAGGAUGGAGAGCGCUUGUGGCGCUGCUAACCCCGCGAACACCUGAGGAGUGGGCGCCCGUGCCGGAUGGGGGGUGCAGAGCCAGUGCGGCACAGCUGUCUCCUCUCAAGGGGACACCUGGCAGGAAUGUGCAGCGUGGAGCUAAGGAGAGCGGAUGGAAACCGAGGGAAGGGAAGAGAGCCCCAAGGCUUGGCCGGAAGGAGAGGUUAAAAAGGAACGGCCUAAAAUGAGGAGGAGAGUUACCACAACAGGCAGUACCUAGUUCCAGUUCUUGGUCCCAGGGGUUUGUGGUUGCUGCUGCUUUCAUCUUCCUCGGCCAAAACAGGGAAAGUGCCAGAGGGCGAUUCCGAGGACCUUCAGUGCAGUCUCCACCUCGCGGACUUGGCUUAUUUGUAUUCAGUCCUUUCUCUAACCUUUUACACUUGAUGCUCGUGGAUGAAUAGAAAGGAGCGCAAUUAAUGGAAAACACAAGCUUGGGAGUCAAGGGAUUUGGGUUCUAUUCUUGUCAUCCCUUGGUGACGACAUCAUCACCUUGAGUUAUUCACGCUUUCAGUGCCAGAGUUCCUAGAUUAAUAAAAUAUUAUUACAUUGACCUCUUAGAGAAAUGUUUUCAUGGUACUGAGUAUGAGUAGCCAUGUGUUA